CCUUCUGCCUGCCCCUCGUCUGGCUCUGCGUUUCUCCUCAGCAUGUUGUCACCUGACACGCUGUGGACUCGAUUUGAUUUGUGCGUCCUCAUUCUGUCCUCGCUAGGAUGGAGGUUCCACGAGAACAGGGCUUUCCUCUGGCUGCUGACGACGGAGCUCCCGGCACCUGCACGAGUGCGUGGCGCGUGGGAGCAGGUGUGCGCUGAGUGCUCGGUGCAGUUGCUGGCAGCGCGUGCACGUCCGCAGCUGUGAGCGUAGCUCUAGCAGUGUAGACACCUGGGAAAGUCGGGGCCCAAUCAGUGAGCUGCUCCUGCCCCUCAUCCGCUCCAAAUUUUGAGUCUGUGUCACCCACUUUGCAGCUUUUCCAUCUACUCUGAUAGAAUCGUCUCGAUAGGACAAUGCCUAUUCCUGUUCUGAGCCUAAGUUCUAUCUCCUGCAUGGGUCACAAAGCCGAGCCCCUGGCCACUGAGGCCUCCCCGUUCGCCUCCCAGAGGCCGCCACUUUCUUCAGGGCUAUCAGAUGAAGGCAGCAACGAAAACACCACCACAAGACCAACUUCAGGCUGGAGCUGAUGAUGCCACACAGGGGCUUCCUGGAGCUCCUGCAACCCCAGGCAUUAGUUCCGGUGCAGUUCUAGGAUCAGAUCAAUUCACUCGACAACAAGAGAAACAAAUGGAGAUUCCUACACAAAGACUUUCAAGCACAAAGAAAUCCUGCUGCCUGUAAAGCGGAGCUGCCUCAGCCCUUGAUGAACGACAGAAAAUACCACCUACUGCCAGACCUCAACGCCUCACAAAACUCUCACCCACCUACUGCUUUUAGCUCACAUUCCAGGAAUUCAGAUGAAGUGAAGUGCUCUCAUGGGGACCAGGCAUGGUUAUGCCAGUCCACUGCCCUGCAAGCCUCAAGGGAAGCCAACUGCCCUUCAGCAAGUCACACCUGCCUUGGUGGAGGCCUUGAUUGGAAGUGCCACACGCUACAUGUCCAGUCCUGAGCGGGAGAAUCGGUGUAGGGACGUUCUGGGGAUGCCAGCUGUGGCCAGAUCAGGUCCAACUACAGAAGAAUAAUGAAGACUCCACCUGAGGGCUGGAAAAACAAAACCUCAAGUGUGAGGCAGCCAACCUGUUACCUCGAGGGACUGUUCCGCAGCACAGCGGGGCCAUGGGAACAGCAGCAGACACCCCGACCUCCUCGCUACCUGUAUCAACUAUGGCCUGAGUAUGAUAGACUUAUCCAUGGUUUAAACAGAAUAUAUUGUUUUCAACUUUGAAAAUAAGAAUAUGGAAAUCCAGAUGCAGAAAUGUGAGAAGAAAAGAGAGUAAACAGAGUGGAAGGUCAGGUGACCUUGCCUGUCAUGAAUAUGAAGGUCAAGGUGUGUGAAUUGUGAAAUUUCCAAGAGAACCUCACUGAAGCAAAGAAUGAAGAAAGAAUUGCAUUUGGCCCUGGGAGGGUGCAGGGGUGAAUGGUGCAGGAGCUAAAUCUUUAUCAUACCCAGAAAUCAACAGCCACUAUUUGAAAUCAUCUAAAUUCGUGCUGCUAACCUUCAGUGUACACACGAAUCACCUGGGGAUCUUACUAAAAGCUAGUUUCUGAUUCACUAAAUCUGUGUGUGGUGGAAGUUGAGGGCAGAGAAGCUCCCGAGGGUGUCAAGCUGACUCUGAACCCGACUUUGAGGGUUAAGGUCCCAAAUGGCAUCGCCAGCACCAGGGACAGACACUAAAAUUGUAGAAAUCGUCUCAAGAAAUGAACAGCCUCUAAGUCAGAUGUUGAAUGUGAAAGAAAUCAGGGUGUGUACGUGUGUGUGCAUUUGUGUGUGCACGUGUGUGCCUGUGUUUGUCUCUGUGCAUGUAUGUUUCUAUGUGUGCACAUGUGUGUAUGUGUCUGUACAUGUGUGUUUCUGUGUGUGUGCCUGUGUGUGUAUUGGCUUAGAUCUGUUCGAGACUUUUUAUUUGAUGAGAUCGAUAUAUGCCACCACUUUUGGAAAGGACAACGUAUAUACAAAGACAAUGAUUACUUAUGUAAUGUGAACGGAGUCUCUCUUCGACCCUCAAAUGUUUUGUAGAAAGUAAUGAUGAUGGUGAGGAUUAUAACAAUGCGUGUUUCCUGAAUAACAAAAAGGAGUUACAGUACACUUUUACCUAUUUUUCCAAAGCGCUAGGUCAAGUUUAGCUAAAGUCUGCUUGGAAUUAAUGAGGCUUGGAAAUGUAAAAUCUCAGAGCAGUAAACAUCUCUUUGUCCUAAUGUUCUUAUGUAGCCAUUAAAACUUAAAUAUUAAUACUAAAAUAACUACUGUAAAAUAAAGUAAAAAUGUACGAGAAUAA
rnacentral:lncRNA from 1 species